rnacentral:rRNA from 1 species
UCCUGGCCGUAAACGAUGAACACUAGGUUGGGGGCCUUCGGGUUUCCCUUCCGUAGCUAACGCGUUAAGUGUUCCGCCUGGGGAGUAUGCGCGCAAGCGUAAAACUCAAAGGAAUUGACGGGGGCUCACACAAGCGGUGGAGCAUGUGGUUUAAUUCGAAGCAACGCGAAGAACCUUACCAAGACUUGACAUCUUUGGAUUAGGUCCUGGAAACAGGACUGACGCCCUUCGGG